GACGAACGCUGGCGGCGUGCCUAACACAUGCAAGUCGAGCGGAGAAUGCAGAAAUGUUUACAUGGAAGCGUUCUUAGCGGCGGACGGGUGAGUAACACGUGGGUAACCUGCCUCAAAGUGGGGGAUAGCCUUCCGAAAGGAAGAUUAAUACCGCAUAAGCCUACAGUGCCGCAUGGCACAGCAGGAAAAGGAGCAAUCCGCUUUGAGAUGGACCCGCGGCGCAUUAGCUAGUUGGUGAGGUAACGGCUCACCAAGGCGACGAUGCGUAGCCGACCUGAGAGGGUGAUCGGCCACAUUGGAACUGAGACACGGUCCAGACUCCUACGGGAGGCGGCAGUGGGGAAUAUUGCACAAUGGGCGAAAGCCUGAUGCAGCAACGCCGCGUGAGUGAUGAAGGCCUUCGGGUCGUAAAGCUCUUUGAUCAGGGAUGAUAAUGGCAGUACCUGAAAAACAAGCCACGGCUAACUACGUGCCAGCAGCCGCGGUAAUACGUAGGUGGCGAGCGUUGUCCGGAAUUACUGGGCGUAAAGGAUGCGUAGGUGGAUACUUAAGUGGGAUGUGAAAUCCCCGGGCUCAACCCGGGAACUGCAUUCCAAACUGGGUAUCUAGAGUGCAGGAGAGGAAAGCGGAAUUCCUAGUGUAGCGGUGAAAUGCGUAGAUAUUAGGAGGAACACCAGUGGCGAAGGCGGCUUUCUGGACUGUAACUGACACUGAGGCAUGAAAGCGUGGGUAGCAAACA
rnacentral:rRNA from 1 species